rnacentral:rRNA from 1 species
AGGCGACGAUCCAUAGCUGGUCUGAGAGGAUGAUCAGCCACAUUGGGACUGAGACACGGCCAAACUCCUACGGGAGGCAGCAGUGGGGAAUAUUGGACAAUGGGCGCAAGCCUGAUCCAUCCAUGCCGCGUGAGUGAUGAAGGCCUUAGGGUUGUAAAGCUCUUUCACCGAUGAAGAUAAUGACGGUAGUCGGAGAAGAAGCCCCGGCUAACUUCGUGCCAGCAGCCGCGGUAAUACGAAGGGGGCUAGCGUUGUUCGGAAUUACUGGGCGUAAAGCGCACGUAGGCGGAUAUUUAAGUCAGGGGUGAAAUCCCAGAGCUCAACCCUGGAACUGCCUUUGAUACUGGGUAUCUUGAGUAUGGAAGAGGUAAGUGGAAUUCCGAGUGUAGAGGUGAAAUUCGUAGAUAUUCGGAGGAACACCAGUGGCGAAGGCGGCUUACUGUCCAUUACUGACGCUGAGGUGCGAAAGCGUGGGGAGCA